rnacentral:rRNA from 1 species
ACUCCUACGGGAGGCAGCAGUGGGGAAUAUUGGACAAUGGGCGAAAGCCUGAUCCAGCCAUGCCGCGUGAGUGAUGAAGGCCCUAGGGUUGUAAAGCUCUUUCAGUGGGGAAGAUAAUGACGGUACCCACAGAAGAAGCCCCGGCUAACUUCGUGCCAGCAGCCGCGGUAAU